UACAUGAGCAGAAGAUCCUAGAACUCACCCACAAGAUGAUGGAGCUGCUGACUGGAGAGGUUCCUAUAAGGUGUCAGGACGUCACUGUCUAUUUCUCCAUGGAGGAGUGGGAGUAUAUAGAAGGACACAGGGACCUGUACAAGGAGGUCAAGAUGGAGGAGCACCAGCCUCUUAUAUCACAGGAUGGAUCCAGGAGGAGAAAUCCACCAGAGAGAUGUCCCCGUCCUCUGUAUUCCCAGG